rnacentral:rRNA from 1 species
GUGGGGAAUAUUGGACAAUGGGCGAAAGCCUGAUCCAGCAAUGCCGCGUGAGUGAUGAAGGCCUUAGGGUUGUAAAGCUCUUUUACCAGGGAUGAUAAUGACAGUACCUGGAGAAUAAGCUCCGGCUAACUACGUGCCAGCAGCCGCGGUAAUACGGAGGGAGCUAGCGUUGUUCGGAAUUACUGGGCGUAAAGCGCACGUAGGCGGUUACUCAAGUCAGAGGUGAAAGCCCGGGGCUCAACCUCGGAACUGCCUUUUAAACUAAGUAACUGGAAUCUUGGAGAGGUCAGUGGAAUUCCGAGUGUAUAGGUGAAAUUCGUAGAUAUUCGGAAGAACGCCAGUGGCGAAGGCGACUGACUGGACAAGUAUUGACGCUGAUGUGCGAAAGCGUGGGGAGCAAACAGGAUUAUAAACCCGGGUAGUCC